rnacentral:tmRNA from 1 species
GGGGGUGAACAGGUUUCGACGGAAACGAUUGAUGUUGACAGCAGGUCGGAGUUAGUCGAUGGCUCCGUAAAAAAUCGACUAAAAAUAAACAACGAUAAUUUCAAUUCAACGCAGCACUUCGAAGAUCUUAACAGCUUUGGAACACCAAUAGCUGCUUAAGUUAGUUGUGUUUUUUCUUAGACACCUGCUGCUACAAGAAUAAAACGACAAAGAGCAGGUUAGUUUUAAACCUCUUGUAUCUCGGUUUAAAAUGAAAUCAAAACGAUACAUGUUUAUAAUGUAGUCUUGUCUGGAGAGACUAUUAUAAAAUGAUCAAAAUUUUUUCCAGAUAAACCUGUAGUGGUCUUACUGAAACAUUUUCGGACGCGGGUUCGAUUCCCGCCACCUCCACUU